rnacentral:sRNA from 1 species
CAACCACAUGGUGGCUCACAACCAUCUGUAAAGAGAUCUGAUGCCCUCUUCUGGUGUAUCUGAAGACAGCUAAAAUAUGAAAAGGUGGCUCUAUAACCUUAUUAAAUCCGUGCCAUUACUUGAGCUAACAUAAAAUUUUUAUUAGCAAUUUAAUGAGCCAGUGAAAUGGCUCAGCAGGUGAAGUCACUUGCUACCAAGACUGAUGACCUUAAUUUGGUCCCUUGGACCCGCAAGACGGAAGGAGAGAAUCAAGUGCUCCAGGUCGCCCUCUGAACUCUACGACUUCCCCCAAUACAUUUACGUCCCUGCAUGCGAAGCCACAGCGCAAUGAGCAAAUGAUCGUGGUUUUAAAAAUUGACAAUAUUUCAUUAGCAUUUUCUUACGCAAGUUUGGAAAUAACAUUUUAAGCGAGAGCACUUAUCUGUUUUUUAUUCUAUAACUUCAAUGUGACUCCCUAUUUCUUGCAAAACCCACUGCUUUUGUAACUCUAUCACUGACAACCGUAUUGCAAAAUUAGGACAUGAAUAAACCCUGAUUACAUCUGACUCAGCAGAACACUCGCUCCCAUCGCUGACAGGAGGGCGCUGCUGUGAUCUGGAUGCUGUGCGCUGUUUACACGUGAGCUGAUGAGUUCCAGGGAGGACAAGAGGGAGUCAUAUUGAAACGCAUCAUUAGAGACGUACAACGUGCAUACCAUUCCUGCACAGGUGAUGGCUCCCAAAACACUAGAGGACGUGUGUGCAGGAUUGGAUAGCUAGAGCCACAGUCUAGCGUCCGUCCAGUCUGCAUUGCUCACGUUGCCCUUCACUUUGUGAAUACGCUAAAUAAGCAGCCCCAGCCAGAUUUGCACCGCUUGCUCAUUUCUGUGGUGUAAAUUCUCCUGCUGCGCGAAUCACACGCCAUCACCCAGAGCCACUGAGCAAGGGUUGGGAGAGACGGAAUAUACAUUUCUGCUUAACUUGAUGCAAUUUCAGAAAACAGGAUAACUGUAAAUGUGUGGUGAUGCAGCCCAGCAAUCACACUCCUACCACACACCUAAGGAGUUGGAAGCACGCUCAUAUCGACUUAAACCUGCAUGGUACCACGGUUGAAUACAGGUCAGUCACCCCGUCAGAGACAGCCAGAAUGCCCACCAUGCCGUGAAUGGAUAAACACUUUUUACUAGAAUUCUAUUCAGCAAUAAGCACAACCAAUCGAUUCAUGUGAGAGUUUGGACGAAUCUGAAAGGCACUGAAGCCAGACAGAAAAGGUUGCCCAUGCACAGGAAAUCCUGUAUACUGCACGAGGUGGGAGUCGGGAAAAGCUGAGCUUAGCAUUUGCAGGAGUUGGACCAGCAUUGAGUCAUGAGUGGGUCGUCCGUAUAAUGUAUGCAGCUGUCCAAACUCGUGGAAUCAUACAGUUAAAAUCAAUGAUUCUUAUUGUACAUAAAUUGCACCUCGAUGCAAAGAGGGGGAAAUAGAAGUAAAGACAGUAUUAAUCAGACAGGGUUACUCAGCUGCGUGUCUCAAUGAUUCCCGACACACCAUUCCCAAACAAGAAGCAAUGUGUUGCUUACUGCAGUGAAACUGGUCAGCUGCAGGGUUUCAUUACCAGCCAUGAGUGAGCCAGGGCUGUGCGCAGCAUCGUGGACACGCUCCACAAACAUUAUUUAUGGAACAAAAGAAGCCAGGUAGGGAGAAUCAUGCUCUCUGACUCUCUGUAAAAUAAAAACAAAUGAACAAACAAAAGAAAACAAACCAGACCAGCUGUAGCGGCUGGGAUAGAUUCCUUCUACAAAUGCCUAAGCAAGUGCAGGAAGAAGCUCUGGUUGGCUGACAGGUCCUGGGCCGUGUCUCGGGCACUUCUGUCUUUCGUAAGUUAGAUAAAUGCUUGUUUCUAUGCCAUGAAGAUAGCACAUUGUAUAUUUAAUAUUUUCUGUGUUACAUUCUAUAAGACUUUGAACAUAGUAAGAAACACUGUUGUGUCUCUGAGAACUCGGCUACGGUUUCAUGAAUUCUUUGGAAGAUUCACCGUUGGGUGUUUUGCACAGAGGAUGCCUGCACUGCCUGUGUGAAGUAACAGAUUAACGUGGCUGUUCCUAGGAAAAAAAGGGGGGUCGGGAGGGGGUGAGGCUUAACAAUGAACAUUUCAACUAUUUGGCUACUUGUGAUGCAUGAACGCUUGUCCCCAGAAUCCACAGGCGAGAAACGUGACCCCCAAAGUCAUAUGCUCAUGGUGUUUGGUGGAACCUUUGGGAUAUAAUUGGUUGAGCGGUUUUGUUGUGGAAGAAGCUCUUUGGCUGCUCUGUCUUGCCAAGUCAUUCCUUACACCAUACUAUACACAGCACAAGGGCUUCACAGUUGCAAGCACUUCUGAAGUGUUAGCUAAAUAAACCAUUGUUCUUUGUAAAUGUUAUUCAGUUACAGUAAAAGAAGGUAGACUAAGACAUAUGUUAAUAAAAUAUUUAAAAGGU